rnacentral:rRNA from 1 species
GGACUACCCGGGUAUCUAAUCCUGUUUGCUCCCCACGCUUUCGCGUCUCAGCGUCAGUAUCCGUCCAGAUGGCCGCCUUCGCCACUGGUGUUCUUCCCGAUAUCUACGAAUUUCACCUCUACACCGGGAGUUCCGCCAUCCUCUCCGGUACUCAAGCAAGGUAGUUUCGGGCGCACUUCCCCGGUUAAGCCGAGGGCUUUCACACCCGACAUGCCUUGCCGCCUACACGCGCUUUACGCCCAAUAAUUCCGAACAACGCUUGCACCCUCUGUAUUACCGCGGCUGCUGGCAC